rnacentral:lncRNA from 1 species
GGCGAGGCUUCUAGAACGCUUGCAUAAAGAGUCUGAGUCCAGAGCAGGAAGUUCACACAGAGAUUUUCAUAUUUGCUGCUAGUCCUUAAAUUCUUCCUGUUAGUGAAAUGCCAGCGAUCUUUUAAAGCUGGGGGAAGGGGGAGGGAAAGCCGCAGAGUGCUUGACCUGAGUGAGAGCCAGGCCACAGCCACACGGAAAAUUACCCCGAGCCGUGUUUACAGGCGACCAGACGGGCAGGGCGUCCCGGACUGUGGACCUGAGGUCAUUAGACCACGUGCUCCCUCCCUGAACAGGGGUACAAGGGCAAAGGCUGGAAGGCCUUUAGAGACACCUCCGUAUCCCCUUAUUUAACAAAUGGGGAAACUGAGGCACACAAUGGAGAGUUGAUGUGCCCUCUCAGUGACCCCCUUACCUUUGCUAACUCAGCUCGGACUCUGGUCUCAGGAUUCUCCCUCCAGAUGCCGGCUCAGCUAUGAAACGGCCCUGAGACCCUGGGCGAGUGACUGAAGGCUGCUCUGAGGCUCGGCUGCUCGUCUGUAACGGGACAGACAGAGGACCUGCCUCGCAGGGCGACUGUGUCAAAGGUCAGCAAAGCCAGCCAUGAGUCAAAGUGGUGAAAACAGAUGGUGCUCAGCCUCUUCUGCCGACAGAGGCAGGAGCGGAGAGCUCAGCCCUGUGCACAGGUGCCGGUGAUUCAGAGGGAGGACGAGGGAGACGCCCGGAUCAAAGGAAAACUCACAGGGGCUUUUGGAUGUAAGUGCCAUCAGGCCAGCUGUGUCUGCCGGCUGGCCAUCGUUGAAGCGGAGAAGCAGGAACUACAAUUCCCAGAACCCUUUCCCCGUGUGGUCCAGGGUUGAAGUUUGCCAGUGAAGGCACUCUGCGGGAUGUGAAGGUGGAAGAGAUAUCAACGCAUAUUCUUUGGAAGUAGAUGCAGCCAGACUCUGAGUGCAUGUUGCUGCCACAGCAUGGCUUGAUGAGGGUGUAAGUUGGUGCCUGGGAUCCAAACCCAUGACCCUGGGCUGCUGAAGCAGAGUGCACGAAACUUCAGCCACUCAGCCACGGGGCCAGCCCUACAAACAAUCUUUGAAUGGCCAGAGGCCUCCUCUCCACCAGGAGUGAGGUGGUAAGGGCAAGAAGGGAAGAAAUGACACUUGGUUAAGGAGCCACUGCUCAGGCGUGUCCACGGCCACCUCCAGUUCUCUUGGGCAGCCUAACAUCGGUCACAGUGGGCCCGCCUUCCUCCCUCUCUUCUGGGACCAGCCCACCCCAUCCCAGCUUCUCUGCCUGAAGCCAGCGGGUCAGUGAGGACGAGUGAGGACCCCAGACCCAGCUUGCCCACCGGUUUGUUAUGGGCUGCAGACUCUGGGUUCAAGGAGGGAAGUCAAAGGACUUUCCUUUUUACCUAACGUGUUUUAUCAGAAGUUUUGCAAGCUGGGGUUAUUGAAUAGUUUCCAGUCAUUAAUAAAGCUAACGUUUUAUU